rnacentral:rRNA from 1 species
GUCUACUUGCCAGCAACCCCCAAUUUUUACAGGUUGACCUCGGAUCAGGUAGGGAUACCCGCUGAACUUAAGCAUAUCAAUAA